AUAGAAAUUACCGUAAAUGACCUAAUCAGAAUCGAAAUAAUUGAUUAUCACUCUGGCAAAAAUAAUCACGAAUAUAAUGCCUACCCAUGUUAAAACUACAAUAAAGUAUAGCUGGCAUCAAUUAUUUCUUAAAUAAAGUACAAUUCUUAAAUAGGUACUGGAGUUUGAAUUACGAUUUUUACCCAUGUCUGUGUUGUUUGGGUAAAAAGCAUGAUAAAAAGAGAAACUAUCAACAAUAACAAAAGAAAAAAAAAGGGAAACAAAAUCAGCAGCAGUAAAAGAUCAAUCAACUGAAAUUCUAGUCAUGAAUAUAUUCUAGCGUAAUACAUUGGAGCUUGGCUUUCUAAUUUCCAUAAAAACAUACUGCAUUCUAUUUCAAAAAUGAAAUGCCGACUAGCGGUAUUUUUAAAAUACAUUGUACUUAUUCAAGACGAG
rnacentral:lncRNA from 1 species